rnacentral:rRNA from 1 species
UACGUAGGGGGGCAAGCGUUGUCCGGAUUUAUUGGGCGUAAAGAGCGUGUAGGCGGCCAGAUAGGUCCGUUGUGAAACUGGAGGCUUAACCUCCAGCGGUCGAUGGAACCAUUUGGCUAGAGUCCGGAAGAGGAGAGUGGAAUUCCUGGUGUAGCGGUGGAUGCGCAGAUAUCAGGAGGAACACCAAUAGCGAAGGCAGCUCGCUGGGACGGUACUGACGCUAAGGCGCGAAAGCGUGGGGAGCGAACGAGGAU